UUAACGAACAACAAGAAGAAGAAGAUAGGCACCAUCAUCAUCAUCAUCUCAAAGAAGAACGCAAAUCGCGUUGAAAUUCGAAGACGGGAACACUAUUUCGGCGACCAAUUUCUACCGUAAAUUGCCAGAAUCCAGCGACUCAAUCAAGUAUAAGGACACAACCCAGCUUCGAUCAGGGGCCAACUUGCACGCACCUCGACUAAUUCCAAGGGAUACCUGCUACCUGCCACCAGUACCUACAGGUAACUAUGUCCUGCAAGUCUAAAACAGAUGGAAGGAAAUCACCUAUUGAGACCUCAGAUGCCAGCAGAUAUUUAUUUUUCAAAGGCCAAGUCACCCCGAUUGAACUCUGUUUGGAUGAUGGUUUGAAAUGGUUUCAUAAUGUAUGGCAGUAUGGUAUGGUAUUGUAUUGUAUGAUAUAGUAUAAUAUAAUAUUUUGAUCAACUAUAUGUUUACUGUUAUUUAAUAACAGUUUUAUGUUUGGUUUGAUGAUAUGACAUUGUAUCGUAAUUGAUAAAUU